AGCGAACGCUGGCGGCAGGCCUAACACAUGCAAGUCGAACGGAUCCUUCGGGAUUAGUGGCGGACGGGUGAGUAACACGUGGGAACGUGCCCUUUGGUUCGGAACAACUCAGGGAAACUUGAGCUAAUACCGGAUGUGCCCUUCGGGGGAAAGAUUUAUCGCCAUUGGAGCGGCCCGCGUCUGAUUAGCUAGUUGGUGAGGUAACGGCCCGCCAAGGCGACGAUCAGUAGCUGGUCUGAGAGGAUGAUCAGCCACACUGGGACUGAGACACGGCCCAGACUCCUACGGGAGGCAGCAGUGGGGAAUCUUGCGCAAUGGGCGAAAGCCUGACGCAGCCAUGCCGCGUGAAUGAUGAAGGUCUUAGGAUUGUAAAAUUCUUUCAGCGGGGACGAUAAUGACGGUACCCGCAGAAGAAGCUCCGGCUAACUUCGUG
rnacentral:rRNA from 1 species